CUGCGAUUUCUGUGAUUCCUGCGACUUACCACCGUAUGAAAAAGUUACAUCUGUCAACACAGAAAAUUGCAUCUCAACAAACCUGUCAUUGGCAAGUACCUGAACUACAUUUCAGUCACUCAGUAAAGUGAUAACUCAAAAUAUCAUUGUCAACAGAUCUGAAGAAAUUGCCACAGCGUCUUUAGACCGUUUUCGUCAGACGAGAGACACAGUUCUGACUCUGAUUACUGGUUGCUGUACAUAUCUAUCCACAUCAAGGAUGUUUUUGAGAGAGACUCUUGAAGAUUCAAGACAGCUCUUAG